rnacentral:rRNA from 1 species
UACGGAAGGGGCUAGCGUUGUUCGGAAUUACUGGGCGUAAAGCGCACGUAGGCGGCUUUGUAAGUUAGAGGUGAAAGCCCAGGGCUUAACCCUGGAAUUGCCUUUAAGACUGCAUCGCUAGAAUCGUGGAGAGGUGAGUGGAAUUCCGAGUGUAGAGGUGAAAUUCGUAGAUAUUCGGAAGAACACCAGUGGCGAAGGCGACUCACUGGACACGUAUUGACGCUGAGGUGCGAAAGCGUGGGGAGCAA